CACGUAGGGUGCGAGCGUUGUCCGGAAUUAUUGGGCGUAAAGAGCUCGUAGGCGGUGUGUCGCGUCGGCCGUGAAAACCUGCAGCUUAACUGUGGGCGUGCGGUCGAUACGGGCAUAACUGGAGUUCGGCAGGGGAGACUGGAAUUCCUGGUGUAGCGGUGAAGUGCGCAGAUAUCAGGAGGAACACCGGUGGCGGAGGCGGGUCUCUGGGCCGAUACUGACGCUGAGGAGCGAAAGCGUGGGGAGCGAACAGG
rnacentral:rRNA from 1 species